rnacentral:tRNA from 1 species
GGCGCAAUGGCUGAGUGGUAAAGCGCUUAGCUUUCGAACCUGGGGUCAGGGGUUCGAAUCCUUGUGAAGCCG